rnacentral:rRNA from 1 species
CUGUACGAGUUUAUGUGGUUACAUUCGAUCGAAAUAGGCGGAUCUUCCGCCUGAUUGUGUUGGGGAUGGCAAGUUGCUGUUUAAAUCAGGCGGAUGCUGUGAUACGUUAGUCGGCGCUUAUUAUAUCUUUGUUAGGGGGAUUUUGCUGGGUUUAGCCCCCCGGUUCUGAGAUCAGGGGGCUGACUAUAACAGAGUUUGGCGUAUGUGUAAACUGGGGUUAGAGUUACCCGUGUUUAUUGAGUAUGUUAAUAUGCUUUUGUGCGGGGAUUUAGUUUAGGAGUAACACCCCUACAGUUAAUCGUGUGCGCGUGUUUAUGGGGUAAUAAGUAAUUUUAUUAGAGGCAUUUUAUCUCGGGCCCAGCCCGACUGUUUAUUAAAAACAUUUCCUCGCUUAGGUUGCGAGGUAUAGCCUGCCCGGUGGGUUUAACGGCCGCAGUAUAUUGACUGUGCGAAGGUAGCAUAAUUAAUUGCCUCGUAAUUGGGGGCUUGUUUGAAUGGUUUAACGUGGUUGGCAGCCAAGAUUGCCGCUUUUGUUGAAAUUAAUGUCACGAGUACAGAAUCUGUGCAAUUUAGUUAGACGGAAAGACCCCGGGAUCUUUCGUUUUGUCUGGGGCGGAUGGGGCUGUUUCAGCCCUUUUAUGACCCUUAGUUUAAAGGUUUAAGUUACCCCGGGGGUAACAGAGUAAUAGUUUAUUAGAGGUCCUAUCGAUUAAACUGCUUGCUACCUCGAUGUUGACUUGGGUUAACUUAUUGGCGUAACAGUUUAUAAGUUAGGUCUGUUCGACCUUUUAUUCCCUCAUGAGUUGAGUUAAGACCGGCGUGA